rnacentral:rRNA from 1 species
UACGUAGGGGGCAAGCGUUGUCCGGAAUCAUUGGGCGUAAAGAGCGUGUAGGCGGCCAGAUAAGUCCGCUGUGAAAUCUCGAGGCUCAACUUCGAGCUGUCGGUGGAAACUGUCUGGCUAGAGUCCGGAAGAGGAGAAUGGAACUCCUGGUGUAGCGGUGAAAUGCGCAGAUAUCAGGAAGAACACCCGUGGCGAAGGCGGCUCUCUGGGACGGUACUGACGCUGAGACGCGAAAGCGUGGGGAGCGAACAGG